rnacentral:rRNA from 1 species
UAAGGUUUCCUGGGGCAGGCUCGUCCGCCCAGGGUAAGUCGGGACCUAAGGCGAGGCCGAGAGGCGUAGUCGAUGGACAACAGGUUGAAAUUCCUGUACUGCACCGAAUCGUUAUGAGCGAUGGAGGGACGCAGGAGGCUAGCAGCGCGUGGUGCUGGAUACCACGUUCAAGCGUCAAGUCUGAGAGCGAGUCAAAUGCUUGCUCUCAUAAGGACAAGGCGUGAUGAGGAGCGAAAUUAAAGUAGCGAAGGCUGCCGAGAAAAGCUUCUAGCCAGAGACGGUGCACCCGUACCGCAAACCGACACAGGUAGUCGAGGAGAGUAUCCUCAGGUGAGCGAGAGAACUCUCGUUAAGGAACUCGGCAAAAUGGCCCCGUAACUUCGGGAGAAGGGGCGCUGGUCGCAAGAUCAGCCGCAGUGAAAAGGCCCAAGCAACUGUUUAUCAAAAACACAGGCAUCUGCAAAAUCGUAAGAUGAAGUAUAGGUGCUGACACCUGCCCGGUGCUGGAAGGUUAAGAGGAGAGCUUAGCGCAAGCGAAGGUUUGAAUUGAAGCCCCAGUAAACGGCGGCCGUAACUAUAACGGUCCUAAGGUAGCGAAAUUCCUUGUCGGGUAAGUUCCGACCUGCACGAAAGGUGUAAUGAUUUGGGCACUGUCUCAACGAGAGACUCGGUGAAAUUAUAAUACCCGUGAAGAUGCGGGUUACCCGCGACAGGACGGAAAGACCCCAUGGAGCUUUACUGCAGUUUAAUAUUGGGUAUCUGUCAAGCAUGUACAGGAUAGGUAGGAGCCGGAGAAGAUAGGACGCCAGUCUUAUC